rnacentral:rRNA from 1 species
AAAUUGAAGAGUUUGAUCAUGGCUCAGAUUGAACGCUGGCGGCAGGCCUAACACAUGCAAGUCGAACGGUAGCACAGAGAGCUUGCUCUUGGGUGACGAGUGGCGGACGGGUGAGUAAUGUCUGGGAAACUGCCUGAUGGAGGGGGAUAACUACUGGAAACGGUGGCUAAUACCGCAUAAUGUCGCAAGACCAAAGAGGGGGACCUUCGGGCCUCUUGCCAUCAGAUGUGCCCAGAUGGGAUUAGCUUGUUGGUGAGGUAACGGCUCACCAAGGCGACGAUCCCUAGCUGGUCUGAGAGGAUGACCAGCCACACUGGAACUGAGACACGGUCCAGACUCCUACGGGAGGCAGCAGUGGGGAAUAUUGCACAAUGGGCGCAAGCCUGAUGCAGCCAUGCCGCGUGUAUGAAGAAGGCCUUCGGGUUGUAAAGUACUUUCAGCGGGGAGGAAGGUGUUGCGGUUAAUAACCGCAGCAAUUGACGUUACCCGCAGAAGAAGCACCGGCUAACUCCGUGCCAGCAGCCGCGGUAAUACGGAGGGUGCAAGCGUUAAUCGGAAUUACUGGGCGUAAAGCGCACGCAGGCGGUCUGUCAAGUCGGAUGUGAAAUCCCCGGGCUCAACCUGGGAACUGCAUUCGAAACUGGCAGGCUUGAGUCUUGUAGAGGGGGGUAG